rnacentral:rRNA from 1 species
AUUGAACGCUAGUGGGAUGCUUUACACAUGCAAGUCGAACGGCAGCGCGGACUUCGGUCUGGCGGCGAGUGGCGAACGGGUGAGUAAUGUAUCGGAACGUGCCCAGUAGCGGGGGAUAACUACGCGAAAGCGUAGCUAAUACCGCAUACGCCCUACGGGGGAAAGCAGGGGAUCGUAAGACCUUGCACUAUUGGAGCGGCCGAUAUCGGAUUAGCUAGUUGGUGAGGUAACGGCUCACCAAGGCGACGAUCCGUAGCUGGUUUGAGAGGACGACCAGCCACACUGGGACUGAGACACGGCCCAGACUCCUACGGGAGGCAGCAGUGGGGAAUUUUGGACAAUGGGGGCAACCCUGAUCCAGCCAUCCCGCGUGUGCGAUGAAGGCCUUCGGGUUGUAAAGCACUUUUGGCAGGAAAGAAACGUCGCGGGCUAAUACCCCGUGGAACUGACGGUACCUGCAGAAUAAGCACCGGCUAACUACGUG